rnacentral:rRNA from 1 species
UACAGAGGUCUCAAGCGUUGUUCGGAUUCAUUGGGCGUAAAGGGCGCGUAGGCGGUCAGCACAAGUCAGUUGUGAAAUCUCCGGGCUUAACUCGGAAAGGUCAACUGAUACUGUGCGACUAGAGUGCAGAAGGGGCAACUGGAAUUCUCGGUGUAGCGGUGAAAUGCGUAGAUAUCAGGAAGAACACCAAUGGCGAAGGCAGCUCUCUGGGACGGUACUGACGCUGAGACGCGAAAGCGUGGGGAGCGAACAGG